CUUAAUCCUUGAGGCAACUUUACAUGUCCCUGGUUUAACACAUCUGACUCAAAUGACUGAGGUACCACCUCAGCAUCCAGUCAGAUCCUACAGAGUCCUGCUAAUGGCCAAAUUAUGUGAAUGAGGCGUAUUGUGCCAAAGACACACCUAAAGCUUGCAGGACACCUAAGCUUGAGGCCUGAAUUUUGACACUAAUGUCCUACAAUAUAACUUGUGUUUUUGUUUUUUGCUUAUCUUUCAUUUUAAAACAGACUGGGAAGAUCUCUGCAGACAGCUUCCAGAAAAGUUUUUUUGAGUGGGGAGCCGUAAGAUAUGACAUAGAUAAAAUGUUAAGGAAGGAUCCCUUCACGUGCCAAGCGUGUACCCCAGAUAUGCUUGCAGUUUCGGUGGAUGGAAACCGCAAACAUUGCCGUUUUAAGAAUGCAGCAAGAUCCGAAGAACAGGCUAUAUUUGAGGACAUCUUUAUAGCCAGGGAUGAAGACGUGGGAAGAUUUGUGGACUAUGUACACAAAACAACCAGACAUGUUUCUGGAAGAAGUGUUUGUGGUGGUGAGUGGUCAGCAGCCAGAGAGACUUCCCACAGAUCCAGCAGUAAGCUGGAUGAGGAGGGAUUGGAGCUUGCGGUGUGUAGACAUGGAGUGCUACUUAGUGCUCUAAAUAUGUACAGGGGUGAAAUAUUUGCCUAUCCUUUGUACAUGCAAAAAAAGCUGGCCAAUAGACAUAUCACUUUUUUUGUACGGAUGUGACCUGCAGGAAAAUAAGAAACUCAUAAAAAUGCAUUUUUAUGAGAUGCAGACAUGUUUGACAAUCUAUAUUUAGGCUCUGGGUUGCAUGCAAAGCACCUGCUAGAACAUCUCCAUACAGGCUAAGAAAGUAUCUUACAGCAUGUUUUACACCAGAUCCAUAUCCCCACUGCAGCAUGACAGAAAAAUCAGUCAAAAAGGCACCGCUGCAGCUGCAUGGUACUACUUAGCUCUGAUUUCAUGCAGCUGUUCUGCUGCAUUCAGGGACAUUAAGUAUUUUAUAAUUAUGGGCGUUACUUUACUUUUAGGAUGUAGACCCCAUCUUUAAUGAUGACUGGAAUUAUUAGAGAUUGGUAUUUGAAUACCAAUCAAGGCCAUAAAUAAUAACCCUAAUCUUUCAUCUUGAAAGAUUGAACCUAAUCAUAAUGAACCUAAUCUUUCAUCUUCCGCAUGUUGUUAGAAAUGAACUGAAUAUGGCAUGGAUUAUAGCAAUUUAUUAUUUUCUUAGAUGUUCUGAAGAAAGGAAAUAUUAAAUAGGUAUACACAAAAUGUAUGAAGUUUCAGAGCUUUUCAGUUUUAGUAUAGCAACUCAGAUACGUGUAAAUUAAUGAGCUUCUAAAUUAAUACAAGAUGGUAUAAUGUACAUUUAAGACCAUCUUUAUUUUUUCAACCUUUAUUUCACCAGGUGGGACGAUUGAAAACUACUUAUUUACAAUGCCGACCAUCUACAGUGUCUUCCAUUUUAUCUUGUUGCAAAUACAAACUUCGUUGUAUUUUAUUGGGAUUUUAUGUGGCAGACAAACACAAAGUUGUGCCUAACUAUGAUGCUUUAAGCAUAUUUUUGUGUGGCAUACCUUUGUAUUCAGCAGCCCUGAGUUGGUAUUUUGCAGAACCAACUUUCUUUUCAAUUACAACUGCAAGUCUAUGGAGCUGUAUCUAUUCUACCAGCUUUGCAUAUCUAGCUUGCUCAGAUAGGAUGUAGAGCAUCUGUGAACAUCACUUUUUAUUCUGAUUGUCCUGGAUUUAGUUCCAUCCAUUUUCCCGUCAACUCUGACCAGCUUUCCUGUCCCUACUGAAGCAAACUAUCCUCACAGCAUUAUGCUGCUGCCAUGUUUCACCAUGGUGAUGGUGAGUUCAGGGUGAUUUGCAGUAUUUUGACUUUCUGCCAAAAGGUGUUUUUCAUGUAAGCCAGCAAGUUCAAGUUUGGUCUCACCUGUACACAGUACCUCCUUUCACAUGUUUGCUGUGGCCCCUACAUGUUUUUUGUCAAACUGCAAACUAUUUCAGAUAAAAAGAUAGCUUACAAUAUUCUGCAAAUACCAACUAAAUAUAAAUUUGAACCAUGUUUUGAGUUAUUUUUUUCAGGUUUUAGAACAAUGAAGUGUGACAAGGAAAACAUUUCCUAAAUGAAACGUCUCAUGCAGAUGUAAGAAAAUAAAAAGCCCAGUUUCAGCUUACAACAAAAACACAACUGAUUGAACUGAAAUAGCCCUAUGCGUUGUAUAAUGAGUGUCGUUCUGCUGGGAAAUUCAAUGUAGCUGCUGCAAGAACACAUGGAAUACCUGAACACUUACUCUUAAAGGAAUGACUCUCAAACUGUUUCUAUCUUUUAGCACAUUUAAUCUGAAUUAGGCAAAGGAAUGAUUAUAGAGAUCAGCGCUGAGGCUCCCGUCUCGGCCCGUUGCCGUCUGUGAAAGUAUGAUGAAGAGCCCCGAAAGAAGGUCACAUGUAGUUUUAUAUCUGGCACUCCAAUGUAAUGGAUGUACACUCCCUCAGAGUUUAUCAGUAGACUAUGUGUCUACCUGAUAGGUUGUGUAGUAGUGGGUGUCCAUCCUUUAUUCUAAGUGUCGCUGCAGCAUUCUAAUCAAACCCAGUUCCAGCCUUCUCCACCAUCAAAAACCCAGUCCACUAAGCCUCAGGUCAUUCAUAACGAACCUUGGGCCAUUUGUCCUUGUAAUGUGUUAAUGAGCUUCCUUAUCCUACUCUAACAAAAGGGAAACAUUAGAACUUAAGCUUUAUAAUAUAGUAUAAGUGUGAGAAACAGCUAUGAGUCAUAUUAAUAAAGGUUAUCCUUACAAAAAAAAAUGCAACUAGAUAUAGCGGCUGUCUUAGCAUUGAAACAACAGACUGCAUUCUUAAUUCAAUUCAAUUCAAUUCAAAAAUACUUUAUUAAUCCCAAAGGGAUAUUAAAUGUUGUUGUAGCUCAUUAUGAAGGUUUCUUCAAAGAGCCGUUGUAGAUGCUUUGGGCAGGAAGGAUCUCCUGUAGCGCUCCGGAGAUAAAUAACACUGAGCGUCAGACAGUUUAAAAUGUUUUUACCUUUCAAGCAGGCGGUCCAUGGCCAGGACUGCUUCUCCAGACCUAAAAACUCAAAUUCCAAUUAGUUUCAUAUCAGAAACCAAUUUAAAUUAAAUUUAUCCUGCCACAUAUACCCUACUUUUUACAUAACAUGAAACAGACAUUCAUUUAACAAAAACAGACAGACAAAAUGGACAAACAUUGGCCACAUAAAAAGUUCGAUUACCCUGUAAAUACAGCAUUUUUAGAGUGGAACCACUUUGUGUUACUUAAUGGUUAAAAAUGAUUUCUUACCCUUUUCUGGUGACGUGACAAUUAUUUCCGGGACCCAAACAAGCUCCAUCAAACUGUUGUCUUAACUUGUUAAAGCAUCUUUGUGGUUGAAACUUGCUAAUGGUAAAUGGACUGAACUUAUAUAGCGCUUUUCCAGUCAUACAGACCACUCAAAGCACUUUACACUAGAGCCACAUUCAUCCAAUUGCACUCACUAACGCUCACACAUUCAUACACCAAUACGCAGAUCGGUAGGCAACUUGAGGUUAAGUGCCCUGCCCAGGGGCACAUAGACAUAUCACAUAGACAUAUGGCAGGAGGAAGCUAGAAUCGAACCCACAACCUUCUGAUUGCAAGACAACUACGCUUCCUACUGAGGCACAGUCGCUAAUAUGUUUCCCCUCCCUGUUUCCUGGCAUUGCUCCUACAGAACAAGCAGGGAGCUCGUUAGUGACGUCUCAGUCAUUCUCUCACUUCACACACGCUCACACACUCUGGCCAACCAGGCGGUACAGCACCGUUUCCUGGUCCAAAUUAAGUUGUUAUCUCUCAGACACCAAAGCUUAUUCACAGUAGAGUUUAUUCAGUGAGCUAGGGUCUGUUGGCUUAGCAUGUAGCAGUCAAAGUCCGUCAGUCUAAUGUGUCCCCCGUCACUUCCGUCUGCUCACUUCCGACUCACACACAUCCACAUUAGCCAGUUGAUGUUACACUUUUAUCUUUAUACAGCUGUUUAGUCAAAAAGGAGCCAGUGGCUUUUAAAUUUUUCUUAUGGAAAAAUGAGAGAGCUUUUGAAACUCAAGAUCCCCUCUCGGUGGUGGCUUUCGUGCUCUUUACGAGAGCAAACAGGAACCAUCGAAACCUAAACCGAGGAUGCGCAUUUAUCUCUGCGUGUUUUACUCACAAGGAAGUAAGCGGCUUUAAGGGCUUUUAAGAAGUCCAAGGAGCUAUCGAAACCUAAUACUUCCCCUCGGUAGUAGAGACGCUGUCUCUACAAACCGAGUGAAGCGGUUUUCCCUGCCUGAGAGAAGGACAACAGGAGCCGCAUCAUCAUGGUUACGGCAACGUGCAGGUUGGCCGGCCGACAGAACAGCCGCCACUCCCCACAGCUAAGGAGGUUAGCUGUAGCUAACCGUUUAAAGACUGUGGACGUUUCUUCAAACUUUUCUGCCUUGGACAACGUUCCUCACCACA